rnacentral:lncRNA from 1 species
GAGAAGAGCCAGGUAGUCAGAGGAACGUUCCGGGCAAACUAGAUUUCAAGGCAUGCGGUAGAAGAAGAAGAGGUCUUGAGAACAAAGGUCUAGUUUCGAAUAAGAAUGACUUAAUCUAAAUGUGUUUUCAAGGAACAGAACCACCUAACCUGAAAAUCUCUAGACUGUGUGUGUAUGGGGGGUUGUAGGGAGAGUAAUAAUCAGAUAAUUGGGUGUAUUUUCUCAACGUUAACGUCUAAAUGCCUAGAAAUUAGACCUGGAGAAAAUGGAAUCAUUAUAUCCACUCUUUCACAGCCUUGAGGCAGAAUUUCCAAGUCAAAUUUCCAAGGUGCAGAGGCAUUGGGUGGCUUGUUUUGCUUUCUUCUCCAUUGCCAGUUUCCUCCUGAGAGCUGGGCAUGGAUCAGUAAGAUUCCUCCACUGAGGCUGCCAGCAAGUCUGUGCCUGAUUUGGCAGGUUUCUGAGAGGUACCAAGACUUCCUCUCACAGGGCCUCUAAUGGAACAUAACACCCUAGAACCAAGCCAGGGACAAAGCCAAGCCACGUUUUCCAUAUCUGAUGCUGAGCCCAGGAGCCAUCUUUUCUGCCUAAAAAACUGGGACUAGAAUCUUUAAAGUGCUUGUCUAAGGAUUUAAGUUGGUCAAGAGAGACAUGUCAUUCCCAAGACACCUUCUCUAUACACACACACACACACACACAUACUCACCCCAGUAGAACCAUGUUACUAAAAUCUUUCUCUUAUUAUGUCAGUAUUUAUGACUGAUAAUUCUCAUGAAAUCCAUUGUAUUAGUCAGGGUUCUCUAGAGUCACAGAACUUAUGGAUAGUCUCUAGAUAAUAAAGGAAUUUAUUGAUGACUUACAGUCGGCAGCC